UCAAAACUUUAUGUAAUUGCAUAAAAGCCCCAAAAGUACUCCCACUUGAGGGAGGGCCGGUUUUGGAGAAGGAAAAGGAGUGAUGUGUGUGUUGAUUUGUGAGUUUUGACAUAAAGCAUGCAAGUGGUGCAAGUGGUGUGUGUGAAAGGGAAUUAAUCCUUUCACACCCACCAUUAUUUCUACCAGCAUUUAAACAAAUAUCUAACACAUUAAAUCAUUUGAAAAACAUAAAACAUAAACUUUAUGAAAUAAAUCAAAACUUUGAAUCAAAACACAAAACCUUUUUGUUCUUGGCAAAAAUGUCAAGAACAAUGAAGAACAUUCAUGAAAAACCCAAAAAUUUCCAUGAACAUUUUUACUCCAAAAACAUCCCAAAACCAUUCAAACUUUAGGGAAAUAACAUAUAACCAAACUAGGGUACAUAGGGGUUCCAAAAGUUACUUGAAAACACUUUUAACAAGUCAAACAAGAACCCAAAAAUCCACCCUUUGGAUUUGGCCGAAAAUUCCCAAAAGCAUGGCACCAAAUUUUAGCUCCAAUCUUCAUGCUCAUAUGAACUACAUCUACAACAUUUGAGAUGGCAAAUUUUCUAACAAAAUUUACAUUCAAAGAAACAAGAAUAAAGCUUGUAACAUAUUACAAUUUUUAAAUCAAAACUAUGAAAUACAAAACCCAAAAGGAUUCACCAACUACUAGACCAAGGCUCUGAUACCACUUGAAGGAUGAUUUUGUGAAAACAUGUUCAUUUGAAUAACAUCUAUAGCAUGCAUUUA
rnacentral:lncRNA from 1 species